ensembl:lncRNA
GUGCUGAGGGAGUCGAGUGAAGACUUGGGUUGGGUGCCACGGGAGCUGCUUGGGAGAACCGAGAGGAGCUUGCUGGGAAAGAAGGGUGAAGGGCAUUUGAGGGAUGGGGUUGGAGGCAUAGCACAUGCACGGAGACAGAGCUGAAGAGUCCUGGCAUGGCGGGAUGACCUGUGUGGGGGCGGAACUCCAAGGAUGCGUUAAGAAGGGUGGAUGUGCUUAAGCAGGACAGUGACGGGUAAGGCAGUGUGGGAGGAAGGCCCGGCAGCAGCCCAGAAGCGAGCCUGGAGCAGUCAGACUGUAAGGGGGCCCAGGCAGUGCCUGCAGGCUUCUCUGUCCAUGAGGAUUCUCCAGGCAGGAAUACUGGAGUGGGUUGCCACGUCCUCCUCCAGGGGAUCUCCCCAACCCAGGGAUUGAACCCAUGUCUCUAUGUCUACCUGCAUUGGCAGGUGGGGUCUUUACCACCAGCACCACCUGGAAAGCCCUUACUCAGUCUGGAGGGACAGCUGUUUAAGUGAGAGGCUGACCAUCCUUAGUCAAGGCAUCCGAAAGGUGGUAAUGAUGACCCUGUAUGCAAGACAGCAAAAGAGAAGACUCUUGAGAGUCCCUUGGACUGCAAGGAGAUCCAACCAGUCCAUUCUGAAGGAGAUCAGUCCUGGGUGUUCUUUGGAAGGACUGAUGCUAAAGCUGAAACUCCAGUACUUUGGCCACCUCAUGCAAAGA